AUCACUAAGCGGAGGAAAAGAAACUAACAAGGAUUCCCCCAUUAACGGCGAGUGAAGUGGGAAUAGCCCAGCACCGAAUCCCUCAGCCUUGCGCUGCCGGGACCUGUGGUGUUUGGGACGACCGCUGUCGUGUUGUUCGGGUGCCCAAGUCCUCCCGAUCGGGGCCUCUCCCAUAGUGGGUGUUAGGCCUUUACCGGCACUCGUCGACACGGCUAUGGUCGUCCUCGGAGUCGGGUUGUUUGGGAAUGCAGCCCAAAGCUGGUGGUAAACUCCAUCUAAGGCUAAAUACUGACACGAGUCCGAUAGCGGACAAGUACCGUGAGGGAAAGUUGAAAA
rnacentral:rRNA from 2 species